GAUGAAGAACGCAGCGAAAUGCGAUAAGUAAUGUGAAUUGCAGAAUUCAGUGAAUCAUCGAAUCUUUGAACGCACAUUGCGCCCGCUAGUAUUCUGGCGGGCAUGCCUGUUCGAGCGUCAUUUCAACCAUCAAGCCCCAGGCUUGUGUUGGGGGCCUGCGGCUGCCGCAGCCCCUGAAAAACAGUGGCGGGCUCGCUGUCAUUCCGAGCGCAGUAGUUACAUCUCGCUCCGGGCGUGGCGGUGGGCACCUGCCGUGAAACACUCCUUCUAAGGUUGACCUCGGAUCAGGUAGGAAUACCCGCUGAACUUAAGCAUAUCAAUAAGCGGAGGA
rnacentral:misc_RNA from 1 species